GAUGAACGCUGACAGAAUGCUUAACACAUGCAAGUCAACUUGAACUUCGGUUUGGGUGGCGGACGGGUGAGUAACGCGUAAAGAACUUGCCUCACAGCUAGGGACAACAUUUGGAAACGAAUGCUAAUACCUGAUAUUAUGAUUAUAUGGCAUCGUAUAAUUAUGAAAGCUAUAUGCGCUGUGAGAGAGCUUUGCGUCCCAUUAGCUAGUUGGAGAGGUAACAGCUCACCAAGGCGAUGAUGGGUAGCCGGCCUCAGAGGGUGAUCGGCCACAAGGGGACUGAGACACGGCCCUUACUCCUACGGGAGGCAGCAGUGGGGAAUAUUGGACAAUGGACCGAGAGUCUGAUCCAGCAAUUCUGUGUGCACGAUGAAGUUUUUCGGAAUGUAAAGUGCUUUCAGUUGGGAAGAAAAAAAUGACGGUACCAACAGAAGAAGUGACGGCUAAAUACGUG
rnacentral:rRNA from 1 species